rnacentral:rRNA from 1 species
GAUGAACGCUGGCGGCGUGCCUAAUACAUGCAAGUCGAGCGAACAGACGAGGAGCUUGCUCCUCUGACGUUAGCGGCGGACGGGUGAGUAACACGUGGAUAACCUACCUGUAAGACUGGGAUAACUUCGGGAAACCGGAGCUAAUACCGGAUAAUAUAUUGAACCGCAUGGUUCAAUAGUGAAAGACGGUUUUGCUGUCACUUAUAGAUGGAUCCGCGCCGCAUUAGCUAGUUGGUAAGGUAACGGCUUACCAAGGCAACGAUGCGUAGCCGACCUGAUAGGGUGAUCGGCCACACUGGAACUGGGCCACGGUCCAGACUCCUACGGGAGGCAGCAGUAGGGAAUCUUCCGCAAAGGGCGAAAGCCUGACGGAGCAACGCCGCGUGAGUGAUGAAGGUCUUCGGAUCGUAAAACUCUGUUAUUAGGGAAGAACAAAUGUGUAAGUAACUAUGCACGUCUUGACGGUACCUAAUCAGAAAGCCACGGCUAACUACGUG